UACGAAGGGGGCUAGCGUUGUUCGGAAUCACUGGGCGUAAAGGGCGCGUAGGCGGCUUAUUAGUCGGGGGUGAAAGCCUGUGGCUCAACCACAGAAUUGCCUUCGAUACUGUAGAGCUUGAGACCGGAAGAGGUAAGUGGAACUGCGAGUGUAGAGGUGAAAUUCGUAGAUAUUCGCAAGAACACCAGUGGCGAAGGCGGCUCACUGGCCCGGUACUGACGCUGAGGCACGAAAGCGUGGGGAGCAAACAGG
rnacentral:rRNA from 1 species